rnacentral:rRNA from 1 species
UACGGAGGGUGCAAGCGUUAUCCGGAUUCACUGGGUUUAAAGGGUGCGUAGGUGGGUUUGUAAGUCAGUGGUGAAAUCUCCAAGCUUAACUUGGAACUGCCGUUGAUACUAUAAAUCUUGAAUGUUGUGGAGGUGAGCGGAAUAUGUCAUGUAGCGGUGAAAUGCUUAGAUAUGACAUAGAACACCAAUUGCGAAGGCAGCUCACUACACAAAGAUUGACACUGAGGCACGAAAGCGUGGGGAUCAAACAGGGA